GAUGAACGCUGGCGGCGUGCCUAACACAUGCAAGUCGAGCGAUUUACUUCGGUAAAGAGCGGCGGACGGGUGAGUAACGCGUGGGUAACCUGCCCUGUACACACGGAUAACAUACCGAAAGGUAUGCUAAUACGAGAUAAUAUGCUUUUAUCGCAUGGUAGAAGUAUCAAAGCUUUUGCGGUACAGGAUGGACCCGCGUCUGAUUAGCUAGUUGGUGAGGUAACGGCUCACCAAGGCGACGAUCAGUAGCCGACCUGAGAGGGUGAUCGGCCACAUUGGAACUGAGACACGGUCCCAACUCCUACGGGAGGCAGCAGUGGGGAAUAUUGCACAAUGGGCGCAAGCCUGAUGCAGCAACGCCGCGUGAGCGAUGAAGGCCUUCGGGUCGUAAAGCUCUGUCCUCAAGGAAGAUAAUGACGGUACUUGAGGAGGAAGCCCCGGCUAACUACGUG
rnacentral:rRNA from 1 species